rnacentral:rRNA from 1 species
AUUGAACGCUGGCGGCAUGCUUUACACAUGCCAGUCGAACGGUAACAGGCCUUCGGGUGCUGGCGAGUGGCGAACGGGUGAGUAAUGCAUCGGAACGUGCCCAGAGGUGGGGGAUAACGCAGCGAAAGCUGUGCUAAUACCGCAUGUGAUCUGAGGAUGAAAGCGGGGGACCAGGCAGCAAUGUUUGGCCUCGCGCCUUUGGAGCGGCCGAUGUCAGAUUAGGUAGUUGGUGGGGUAAAGGCCUACCAAGCCGACGAUCUGUAGCUGGUCUGAGAGGACGACCAGCCACACUGGGACUGAGACACGGCCCAGACUCCUACGGGAGGCAGCAGUGGGGAAUUUUGGACAAUGGGCGCAAGCCUGAUCCAGCAAUGCCGCGUGCGGGAAGAAGGCCUUCGGGUUGUAAACCGCUUUUGUACGGAACGAAAAGGCUCUGGCUAAUACCUGGGGCUGAUGACGGUACCGUAAGAAUAAGCACCGGCUAACUACGUG